AAUUAUACUCUCCAGAGCCAGAGUUUCAGUCCCUGGUGUUGUGGUCCUCUUCUGUCAUCAUUCUGACUCUGAUACCGCUUUUUCAUUUAUUCGGUGAGGAGAGGAAACCUGUACAUGGACGCCUUUGUCUCCCUUUCACACUGGAGAGGGUCAGUGGUGUCAAAUACAAAUAGAAAACGCCCCUACGGGCCAUGUAAUCAGUGAAGAUGAGGAGGGAGAACAUUCCAUGCAUGGGGGACAGCCAGAGAAAAUGUCCAGAGCCAAAAGAUGGAGUGUCUCGUUCAAGGAACUAGCAAGAAGGAGUCUUUCAGAACAAACGAACAAACAAACAAAAAAUGUGAUCUGAAGCUAGUGUAAGAGAGACAUAAAGUCCAGGACCAAGUAGCUCUACAGACCCAACUAUGGUCUCUGCUCCGGUGGACUACAUCUAGAAUUUUUUAAUUCUGGGAACUACAUUUAAAGAGAGAUAUCGAUCAACUAGAGAAUGUCUACAGGAGGGAAGGAUUAUAUAAAGAAUGAACGAAGAAACUUUAGAAACUGGGGAUAUUUAUACUGGAGAAGACAAGACAAUGUAGAUAUGAGGGCUAUAUCUAAAGCACUGUUAUGUGGAAGAGGAAUUAAACUUGUUUUCCUGUAUUUUGUGUUGCCAUUCUCCUGCUCAAGAAACUUCAUUGCCUCCCUGUUGUUGAUAGGAUAAAAUGUAAAGCCCCUCUGGUGAUAUUUAAAACUACUAUCUAGCUCCAACCUCCUCUUCCAGACUUACCUUCUAGGCAAAUCAAUCAUGGGAUUAUGAAUGCAGGCCAAACAGCUCAUUUUACAAAUGAGGAAAUCAAGACCAGGAAGAUUAAGUGUCUUAGCAGGGUCACACAGAUUCCUUCUCCAAAAGAACGUGAAGAUAGAAGAGGCCACUCCUGAAGAACAGGAUCUUUCUUUAGAACCUUUGUGUGGAGUUAGAGAUUGCUGGAACAAUUCCUGACCAUCUUGCCCUAGGAGACAUUACUUGGAUGAAAUCGGAGCAUCCACUGAACAGCAAAGAAGGAAUGACUAUGGAAGAGCUGAUGAACAUGUUUGAGAAGAAAGCUCUGCCUGAGAAGUAUGACUUUCUCCCCAAACAGAGCACAGAGGUGGAGGAAAUGACCUCUGGGCUCCUGGCAUCCAGAUCCCAGGAAUCGCUGAUGUUCAAGGAAUAUGCCUAUGAGCUUCAACCCAAGAUGGAAUGGGGACAUUUGGAUUCUGCUCAGAAAGGUCUUUAUAGAGAUGUGAUGCUGGAGAACUAUAGUACCUGGCUUCAUUGGGACAUCCGGGUUCCAAGCCAGAUGUGAUUUCUCAGUUGGAGCAUGGAAAAGGCCCAUGGAACAAGAAGAAAAUUCCAAAAAGCAACCGCCUAGGUACUUCUCUGACUAAACACCAGUUUGUCUUACCUAGAGUUUUCUGUCUGAUGAUAUGCUGCUUCUCACGAGUUGCCAAACCUCGACCCAUUUGAAGCAUUCUACUCAUCUCCAGCCCUUCUGAUCUUUCUGGCUUAGAGAAUCUCCUCUAAAAGCAUCAGGACCAUACUGUUUUUGGUAAUUUUUGCUGAUGCUUUUGGCUAGGUUGUUUCCAUCCUGCCAUUCAUUAUCACCACAUAUAAAAAGACUCACACUAAGCUAUAUCAGCUCAAUUUCCCUUCUCUGAACUGAUGGGGUAGGGCAUGGGAAAGAAGGGAGCACUUUGGCAUACUCUAUAGCACGGGUCUUCAGACUCUGAGGAAUAGGUGAUCAACUAACUAGAGGGUGAGAAUCCCAGCCCACCCUCCCUGCAGUAGCAAAUAUUGGGGCUUAAUACAACCUACCCUUCAUGUCUUAUUUCUGGGCAACUCUUCAUUCCACACCCUCCCAUAACUGUGCAAGUCUUACCCCUUUGGUAUGGGGGUAAGUCCUGGGUAGUUAUAGCCCAAACCCUACCUGGUACCUACAGUAACAUCUGAGCAAAUGUCAUUGGUAAAGAGCCACUGCAACUACGCAAUAUGCCCACUCGCUAUCUCCCCAGAUCAAUUUGUGGCUGUGGUAAUAGACUUCUAAUUGGUUUCCCACCUCAAAUCUUUCCCUUCUUUUUUUAAAUAAUAAAAGUAUAUUAUUAUUUUUUCAGUCACAUGUAAAGAUAGUUUUUAACAUUUGUUUUUUAUAAGAUUUCUAGUUCAAAAUUUUUCUCCCUCCUUCCUUUCCCUCCCCUCUCCCCAAGACAGAAAGCAAUCUGGUAUAGGUUAUAUAUGUACAAUCACAUUAAACAGAUUUCUGCAUCUAAUCCACUCUUGACAACCACCACAGUGAUUUUCCUAAAGUAGAUCUGACCAUAUUCACCCCCAAUCAAGAAAGCUCAGUGGCUCUUUGUUCAUUCUGGGAUCAGACAUAAACUUCAAUGUUUGGCAUGUGAAGACCUUCACAACCUGGUCCCAACCUACCUUUCCGACCUUCUUAUACAUUUCUGUCCUUCCUGCACUGUACAAUCCAACCAAAUUGGCCUUCUUACUAUUCCUGAAUCUUAUAAAAACAGGCAAAAUAUCCAAAUAUGAAUAGGAACUUAAACAUCCAUUAAGCAGAACCAUGAAAAGAAAGAGGAAUAUGUUUAUAGAAGAAACUUUCUGCUGAGUUGAAUUCAGAGACAAUUCACUUUUGCUUAUCAUUUUUCAUUGUGUAUUGUGAUUGUUAUCAUGCAGAAAACGUGACUCCUGACAUUAUUAUAUUCACUGUUAAAACCUAUUGUUUGUUGUAAUUUGUAUUUGUGAAUGUUUAAUAAUAUGUGUAUA